rnacentral:rRNA from 2 species
GGACGCAAGUCUGAUGGAGCAACGCCGCGUGAGUGAAGAAGGCUUUCGGGUCGUAAAACUCUGUUGUUGGAGAAGAAUGGUCGCAGAGUAACUGUUGUCGGCGUGACGGUAUCCAACCAGAAAGCCACGGCUAACUACGUGCCAGCAGCCGCGGUAAUACGUAGGUGGCAAGCGUUAUCCGGAUUUAUUGGGCGUAAAGCGAGCGCAGGCGGUUUUUUAAGUCUGAUGUGAAAGCCCUCGGCUUAACCGAGGAAGUGCAUCGGAAACUGGGAAACUUGAGUGCAGAAGAGGACAGUGGAACUCCAUGUGUAGCGGUGAAAUGCGUAGAUAUAUGGAAGAACACCAGUGGCGAAGGCGGCUGUCUGGUCUGUAACUGACGCUGAGGCUCGAAAGCAUGGGUAGCGAACAGGAUUAGAUACCCUGGUAGUUCAUGCCGUAAACGAUGAAUGCUAAGUGUUGGAGGGUUUCCGCCCUUCAGUGCCGCAGCUAACGCAUUAAGCAUUCCGCCUGGGGAGUACGACCGCAAGGUUGAAACUCAAAGGAAUUGACGGGGGCCCGCACAAGCGGUGGAGCUGUGGUUUAAUUC